AAAAAAUUUAAACAUGAUUUACACUCCAAUUUUCAAAAACCAAAGGAAAAAAAGGAUGUAAGAGCAACUACAUGUGGGAAAAAACAACAGAAAAACAGUUAUUGGAAUGAACAACUUUGGUCAAUCAACCUACACCAUAUUUAUACUACAUUUUGUUUGGGGGACUCUAAUAGAUUUAAACCAAUAAGUCAUUGUGUAUCUAUUUUUCAAGUUUCCAUUCUAAUCCAGUGAAUGAUCAGAGAUAGAAGGAGUACAUUUUCACAAACAUGUUAAGUUCCUUUCUUAACUUCACAUUUGGAUACAUUGAAAUUUAAGUUCCAAAGAGAGAGAGAGAGAGAGAGAGAGAGAGAGAGCAUCAAGUCUACAUAUUAGGAAAAAUUCAAAUGCAAGAAGAUCCAAAUUUUGUUAUAAAAAACAGCAACCAUUUUAUUUAACCUUUGAAAUUGCAGGUCUAACCUGUUGUUUGUUGUUCAAUGCGGAUCACCACUUACCUUCCAAAUCUGGAAUAAACAACACAACAGAAAACCAUCAAAACCCAGCUCAUAUGAUCAUUAAUCAUAUAGAUAGCAUUUAAGAAAUAAUUCAGUUUGCAAAAGUCAACAAAAUAUUUUUGAAUUAAACCCUUUUGCAAAAGUGAAACUCAGAAGUAGAAAACGGGAAAAAGGAAUGAUGGAGAAAGUGAAAGUCAUUAACAUAUAAAACCAAGAAGACAUUAACAUAUAAACAAAAAUUGAAAAAAAUCAGUAGGAUAAAAAAAUGUAUAUAACUCUCUUACCAUUCCACUAUCAAAUGAUCAAAAUAUCCAAAUUAAUUAAUAAAUAAAAACUGAACCUAAUUGAAAUUUAGAGGAAAAAUGAACCUGAAAACUGAAUAUAAUUGGAAAAAAUACCAGAUAUUCAAAGAAAGAAGCCUUGGACUCCAACAGUUGUUAAGCUCCUCCAAGUUAUGCAUAUAGAAGGUGUACCACUGAAUUAAAUCCAUGUACACCUUUCAUAAUCAAAAGACCUAAAGUGUUAGGGAACAUAUAGGUUGUAGAGAAAGAAAGAAAAAACCAUAUAUUGAUCAACCUAAUAUUCGUAGGAAAAAGGCCAAGUAAAAUUACUCCAUAUCAAUUAUGAAUAUAUGAAAGCACAAAAAAUAAGACCACAAAGCCAUCAAUUUUUCAUAUUGAGAGAUUUCUUCAAAUACUUUGAGUGCUCACUUUCACAAUAAAAAAAAUCAAAAGAAAUUCUAAGGCAGAAUAAUUAACAACUUAAAAUAUUAACCUUAACACAACAAUCACAAAAACAACAUCUAUAACUUGUUAACAACAAAAAGGUUUACCCCUAAAAUAUUAAUAUCUAAUUUUUCCAAAUUGGAUAACAACUACCGGUAAUGAAUCAGGUGCACCCUUAAGCAAAUGAAUCAGGUGCCUCUGGACAGUAGCAUGAAUCUUGCAACCCUGAUAAACAAUUUUAUUUAAGUAGAUAAGCAUAAUUACAUUACAUAUAAAUUAAAAAAAUGACUUAAUUAAGCUAUUGUACCUUCUCAUCGAUAACCACCAUUUCAAAUGAAUUAUCCUGGCCAGGUAUUAGAUUGAACUUGACAAUCCACAAACGCAUCACGCAAGCCUUCAAACACCAUGGAAAUUUGCCGACACGAAGAUCGCUUAUUUUGCUAUAAGCAUUGGCCACACAAAGAUUAGUUUUUGUAUCAGUUUGGUACUGACCAGAAAAUAAUCAAUAAACCAGACUGGAAAUAUAGAAAGCAAUAAACCUUAAAAUGCAUUCAUUGGAAGAAACAUCNNNNNNNNNNNNNNNNNNNNNNUUAGGAAUUAAUAAAACCUAAAUUCACAAAUUAAGUAAAUGUAAUUCAAGAAUAAUGAACAUUGAAGCAUUGACUUACUUGUGAAAAGAUAAAGAAAAAGACGAAC
rnacentral:lncRNA from 1 species